rnacentral:rRNA from 1 species
AUGGUUUUGGAGGACGAAAGCAGCGACGACCAGUCUAGCCUCCCGUACAUGCAUUCUUCCUCCACAGACGGUCUCAACCAGGUUUUGAUUUGGCCAUUGUCUUUGUGCGAGCUUCUGAAGGUCCCUUUCAGCCUUGAAGAUCCAGACUACAAGGGGCUUGAGCUGGAUGUGAUGUAUCCAUGUGAGAAGCACGGCAUGUCAUCUGAGAGGCUUGUUGCCUUUGAAGGAACACACACAAGCAGGAGAUUUUUAGCAUGUGCACAGCCGGAAGGUAGCAAUUGUGGCUUUGUUGAAUGGGUUGAUCACCAGUGGGCCCCAACAAUGCAGAAUGCAUUGUUGAAGCUAUUUGCAAUGGUUGAAGAUGCCAAAAGUGCUAGGGUGAAUGACAGUCUUGAAAGUUCUUUCACUAUCCACCAUCUGACAGAAGAGAAGAACAAGAUGGAGGCCAACUAUGACAAGCUAGUCCAAGAUGUGCAUGAGUUGAUGAACUUCCAGGAAGAUAAGGUGGUGGAUUUUAGACAUCUGCAGUCUGCCAUUACAUAUCAGCAGGAGGUAAGAAAAGAACCGAUUGAUGAUAUGAAGGCAAAGAUGGCAACUGAGAUGGCAAAGAAAGAUGCAGAGACCCAGAAACUUACUCAGAAGUAUGAGCUGCUGCUCAACCUGACAAGAGCUCAAGCAACAGUCAUUCAAAACUUGAAGUUGAACAAAAUGAAAGAGAAGCAAGUGCUUAUUGAAGCUAGUAUGAAUUUGGAGCUGAAGAAUGCAGAGCUAACUAAGUGUCAGGAGAAGCUCACCCAAGAGAAGCUAGAGUUGAAGCUUCAGGCUACUGAUCUGCUUAAGGGAAAUGAAAAGCAUAUUGAAGAGAAGUGGCAGUUAGAAUUUCAGAAUGAAAAGUUGAAGGAGAAGUUCAGGGGGAUUUAG